CCUCCUUAUAACGAAUUUACACUUACAGAGUGUUCACACAAAUAAUUAAUUACGAAGUUUUAAGAGAGCUCUAACCCAUGCGCACAGUAUGUGCUCAUCAGUUAUGGUUUUUAACCCGGACGUGUAACCGUCAUGCUCUUUAACAAUAUGGAAACCUGAUAAAAUAAGGUAAACACUAUUGUUUAUUUAAUUUGUGAUUCAACAAUUGACAAAAAAUAAUUUUGAUUAUCACUGUAAGAGAAAACUCAACCGUUAUUUAUGUCAACAACGAAGAUGCCUAUACAACAUGUCUCGUUUAAUAAAUAUGAACACAAGAAUGAUGCAAUUCUAACAAUGUGAGAACAUUUCAAAGGUUGUAUGGGUUUAACUGAAAUUACCCCGUUAUCCGGGUGGGAUGCCUUGGGCAAAUUUGCAACGCCGACUGAAAGGACGUUGUUCAAUCUGGCUAAUAAACUCUGGGCUUCAACGCUGAAUAACAAUCCGCUUAAUUACACCCAUA
rnacentral:misc_RNA from 1 species